rnacentral:rRNA from 1 species
AUACGAACCGUACGAACGUUAUUCGGAAUCACUGGGCUUAAAGAGUGCGUAGGCGGCCCGGUAAGUUGGGUGUGAAAUCCCUCGGCUCAACCGAGGAACUGCGCCCAAAACUGCCGGACUUGAGGGAGACAGAGGUGAGCGGAACUAAUGGUGGAGCGGUGAAAUGCGUUGAUAUCAUUAGGAACACCAGAAGCGAAGGCGGCUCACUGGGUCUCUUCUGACGCUGAGGCACGAAAGCUAGGGGAGCGAACGGGAUUAGAUACCCCAGUAGUCC